rnacentral:rRNA from 1 species
UACGGAGGGGGCUAGCGUUGUUCGGAAUCACUGGGUGUAAAGGGUGCGUAGGCGGUCCGUUAAGUCUGAUGUGAAAGCCCUGGGCUCAACUCAGGAAUGGCAUUAGAAACUGGCGGGCUGGAGUACCGGAGAGGGAAGCAGAAUUCCUGGUGUAGCGGUGAAAUGCGUAGAUACCAGGAGGAACACCGGUGGCGAAGGCGGCUUCCUGGCCGAGCACUGACGCUGAGGCACGAAAGCGUGGGGAGCGAACGGG